CAAGAUGGCGGCAGAUACGGUUGCGGCGCAAACGAGUCGGCGAUCGACACGGCCGUGCCAUCCAUGAUGGCCGAGACAGUAUCCGAGAUUUCGAGUACGGUGUCGUGAGUACGUGUUCCCUUUAUCGCGCGUUUAACCACUAGUGAGAUCGGUCCUCAGGCGAAAAGGAUCCCGGAAACAAUGACAGACAGUCCAGCGGCACUCAUCGAGGACGAUGCGGCUCAGAAGGAGAAACUGGAGGAAUCCGAGACGUCCGAGGAGUCGCCGGUCAAGG